rnacentral:rRNA from 1 species
CACCAGACUCCUACGGGAGGCAGCAGUGAGGAAUAUUGGUCAAUGGGCUUACGCCUGAACCAGCCAAGUCGCGUGAGGGAAGACUGCCCUAUGGGUUGUAAACCUCUUUUGUCGGGGAGCAAUUGGCGCUACGUGUAGCGUUAUCGAGAGUACCUGAAGAAAAAGCAUCGGCUAACUCCGUGCCAGCAGCCGCGGUAAUACGGAGGAUGCGAGCGUUAUCCGGAUUUAUUGGGUUUAAAGGGUGCGUAGGCGGAGUGUCAAGUCAGCGGUAAAAUUUCGGGGCUCAACCCCGUCGUGCCGUUGAAACUGACGCCCUUGAGUGAGUGAGAAGUAAGCGGAAUGCGUGGUGUAGCGGUGAAAUGCAUAGAUAUCACGCAGAGCGCCGAUUGCGAAGGCAGUCUGCCGCAGCGUUACUGACGCUGAAGCUCGAAAGCGCGGGUAUCGAACAGGAUUAGAUACCCCUGUAA